CAGGUUUACCUGUGUGACUGCGUACCUUUUGUAUAAUGGGUCAGCGACUUAUAUUCUGUAGCAAGGUUAACCGUAUAGGGGAGCCGUAGGGAAACCGAGUCUUAACCGGGCGUUAAGUUGCAGGGUAUAGACCCGAAACCCGGUGAUCUAGCCAUGGGCAGGUUGAAGGUUGGGUAACACUAACUGGAGGACCGAACCGACUAAUGUUGAAAAAUUAGCGGAUGACCUGUGGCUGGGGGUGAAAGGCCAAUCAAACCGGGAGAUAGCUGGUUCUCCCCGAAAGCUAUUUAGGUAGCGCCUCGUGAAUUCAUCUCCGGGGGUAGAGCACUGUUUCGGCUAGGGGGCCAUCCCGGCUUACCAACCCGAUGCAAACUGCGAAUACCGGAGAAUGUUAUCACGGGAGACACACGGCGGGUGCUAACGUCCGUCGUGAAGAGGGAAACAACCCAGACCGCCAGCUAAGGUCCCAAAGUCAUGGUUAAGUGGGAAACGAUGUGGGAAGGCCCAGACAGCCAGGAUGUUGGCUUAGAAGCAGCCAUCAUUUAAAGAAAGCGUAAUAGCUCACUGGUCGAGUCGGCCUGCGCGGAAGAUGUAACGGGGCUAAACCAUGCACCGAAGCUGCGGCAGCGAACGUAUCACCCAAGACAACUUUACGGAGUUGACGAUUGACGGAGCGAAGCGACGUCAAAGCGUUCAUUAAAGUCGAGUUGGCUUAGGGAUACGUUCGUUGGGUAGGGGAGCGUUCUGUAAGCCUGUGAAGGUGUGUCGUGAGGCAUGCUGGAGGUAUCAGAAGUGCGAAUGCUGACAUAAGUAACGAUAAAGCGGGUGAAAAGCCCGCUCGCCGGAAGACCAAGGGUUCCUGUCCAACGUUAAUCGGGGCAGGGUGAGUCGACCCCUAAGGCGAGGCCGAAAGGCGUAGUCGAUGGGAAACGGGUUAAUAUUCCCGUACUUGGUGUUACUGCGAAGGGGGGACGGAGAAGGCUAUGUUGGCCGGGCGACGGUUGUCCCGGUUUAAGCGUGUAGGUGUGUGUUCCAGGUAAAUCCGGUUCACUUUAACACUGAGGCGUGACGACGAGGCACUACGGUGCUGAAGCAACAAAUGCCCUGCUUCCAGGAAAAGCCUCUAAGCAUCAGGUAACAC
rnacentral:rRNA from 1 species